rnacentral:misc_RNA from 1 species
CUUCACCUUCAUUUUGUUAUCACAAAAUUCCUAAACUUCAAAAAUGCUACACUAAAAUCCCGAAACUUCGAAAAUGUUACACUAAAAUCUCUCUCAUCAUAAUCUGGUUAGAUUUCCAGUAAAAAGCUUACAUGACAGUACCACGUGUCAAAAAAUAAAAUAAAAAAGAAAUCCCACGUGGUAAAGAGCCAGUGUGAGGGGU